rnacentral:snoRNA from 1 species
CAGGUCAGCCUGCACCAGAGAUUAUUUCUAUAGUUUCUUACUAGAGAAGUUUCUCUGUGUAGAGUACUAGAAACCACGAGGAGGAGGCAUAGCAUUAUCUCCUGAGCAUGAAGUUGCUUUGCUGCAACUGCCACUGACCACUCAUGAUUGUUCCUGAUCUCCUUAAGGGGAGCUGGAGGGAGAGGACACAGUCUGAGUGGC